GCAAGUCGAGCGGAAACGAGAAUAGCUUGCUAUUCGGCGUCGAGCGGCGGACGGGUGAGUAAUGCCUAGAUAUCUGCCUAGUCGUGGGGGAUAACAGUUGGAAACGACUGCUAAUACCGCAUACGCCCUACGGGGGAAAGGAGGGGACCUUCGGGCCUUUCGCGAUUAGAUGAGUCUAGGUGGGAUUAGCUAGUUGGUGAGGUAAUGGCUCACCAAGGCGACGAUCCCUAGCUGGUCUGAGAGGAUGAUC
rnacentral:rRNA from 1 species